rnacentral:tRNA from 1 species
GGUCGGCUGGCCCAAUGGCAAGGCGCUUGACUACGAUGAAUCAAGACAUUCUGGCUAUCAAGAGAUUGCAGGUUCGAUCCCUGCGUCGAUCA